rnacentral:lncRNA from 1 species
CCACUUGGGAUAUUUUCUAUUUAUAGGUGACGUAAACAUAGUGUGUAUUCUAUAUGCUAUAUUUUCUACUUUUUUUAGUUGGCUAAUGAUACCUACUGAGUACAAGUAGACCAUACUAACCCCUACUACACCUUUUUGGUGCAGAUCUAGGCAUGAAUGCACUACAAGGUAGCUGGUUCAGUAAAUAUCUAGAUUGUAUUUGAGGUAGC